rnacentral:lncRNA from 10 species
AACGAGUAAACGUUGUUAAAUGAAGUUUAGCCUAAAGCUGCCUUUUUUUUUUUUUAAAGGCAGGGUCCCAGCCUGACCAACAUGGUGAAACCCCACCUCUACUAAAAAAAAAUACAAAAAUUAGCCAGGCAUGGUGGCGUGUGCCUGUAAUUCCAGCUACUCAGGAGGCUGAGGAAGGAGAAUCACUUGAACCCGGGAGGUGGAGGUUGCAGUGAGCUGAGAUCACACCACUGCACUCCAGCCUGGGUGACAGAGUGAGACUCUGUCUCAAAAAAAAAAAAAAGACAGGAUCUCACUCUGUCACCAAGGCUGGAAUACAGUGGUGCAAUCACAGAUCACUGCAGCCCCAACCUCCUGGGCUCAAGCAAUCCUCCCACUUCAGCCUCCCAAGUAGCUGGGCCUAUAGGCAUGCACCACCACGCCAAGCUAAUUUUUAUAUUUUUUGUAGCAAGAGGGUUUUGCCAUGUUUCCCAGGCUGGUCUCAAACUCCUGGGCUCAAGCAAUCCACCUGCCUCAGCCUUCCUUACGUAUUUUAAGUUCAUCCUAAAGAUUUCUCUGUACAUAGUGAACAAUAACCUAAAUGGAGGUGUAAACAGACUGUAACCCACACUGGUGCCAAUCGCCA